rnacentral:rRNA from 1 species
CAGUAGCCGCGGUAAUACGAAGGGUGCAAGCGUUAAUCGGAAUUACUGGGCGUAAAGCGUGCGCAGGCGGUUCGUUAAGACAGAUGUGAAAUCCCCGGGCUUAACCUGGGAACUGCAUUUGUGACUGGCGAGCUAGAGUAUGGCAGAGGGGGGUAGAAUUCCACGUGUAGCAGUGAAAUGCGUAGAGAUGUGGAGGAAUACCGACGGCGAAGGCAGCCCCCUGGGCCAAUACUGACGCUCAUGCACGAAAGCGUGGGGAGCAAACAGGAUUAGAUACCCCGGUAGUCCCUGUCUCUUAUAC